AACGAACGCUGGCGGCAUGCCUAAUACAUGCAAGUCGAACGAUCACUUCGGUGGUAGUGGCGCACGGGUGCGUAACGCGUGGGAAUCUGCCCUUGGGUUCGGAAUAACAUCGGGAAACUGAUGCUAAUACCGGAUGAUGACGUAAGUCCAAAGAUUUAUCGCCCAGGGAUGAGCCCGCGUAGGAUUAGCUAGUUGGUGGGGUAAAGGCCUACCAAGGCGACGAUCCUUAGCUGGUCUGAGAGGAUGAUCAGCCACACUGGGACUGAGACACGGCCCAGACUCCUACGGGAGGCAGCAGUAGGGAAUAUUGGACAAUGGGGGCAACCCUGAUCCAGCAAUGCCGCGUGAGUGAUGAAGGCCUUAGGGUUGUAAAGCUCUUUUACCCGGGAUGAUAAUGACAGUACCGGGAGAAUAAGCCCCGGCUAACUCCGUGCCAGCAGCCGCCGUAA
rnacentral:rRNA from 1 species